UCUAAUCAUUUUGUCUAGUGAUUCUUCGGUCUAUUUAGGAAGUGCUGAUCAGCUUUCUCUACCUCCUGUGGACAAUAGCUGAUUGACAUACAAUAUAAAAGACAUAAGUUAGUCUAAAGUCAGGAUAUAGAGAGCCUAAUCACCUGGGAGCAGCUGCUGCCAGAGAAGUCAAGAGUGCUUUGUUUGAGAGAACCCCCCCGGUUGUGUAUUCUUCGUUGUGGGUUCUUCUAGUUGUGGCAUGUGGGACGCUGCCUCAGCGUGGUCUGAUGAGCAGUGCCAUGUCCGCGCCCAGGAUUUGAACUAACGAAACACUGGGCCGCCUGCAGCGGAGCGCGCGAACUUAACCACUCGGCCACUGGGCCAGCCCCUUAUGUCUCCCAUUUUAGAGUCUCCUUCCUGUCAACUCCAUGCCAUGCCUACUAUGAACAGUCUACAGAACCCCCUUCUCCCACUUCCUGGACUUUUCAGUCUCCUCACGCACUCUUCCUGGGGCUGAUCAGUGCACCAGGAGACAGACUGGAAAAGUGAAGCAAGAUCAGGCUUUGGUGUACACAGAGGUCCUGGCUUCAAAGCCAUCUGUAGCUGUGUAACCUGGGUGUCUGAAGGAGACUGGUAAAAGAGGAUGAUAUGUGGAUGAAGAAGAGGAUCUGACCUCUCCAGGGGGACAAAGCAGAGCUCACAGGGGUGCUAAAUGUUUCGACUGAGCCCUGAACCAUCAUCCACCAUCCACCCAUGUGUCCAUCCAUCCUUCCAUCCACUCAGUCAUUUAACAUGUGUGGAACAUCUGCAAAAUGCCAGAAACUGUGCUAAGGGAUGAAGGAUGAAGAAGUCAUGGUCCUUGUCUUUAAACUUCUAGAUCUGAGCAUCCUCCCCAAGAAACCACCCCAGAUACUCAAAGAGUGACAGGAACCCACCUGAAUUUAGUGCAAGGAAUUAGCGAUGUGACAAGAGAAGGCCUGACUUUUGAUGGAUACGAGAAUAGCUAUUUUCCUCAAGACUUUUGUAAGGUUACAAGUUUACUGGGCUGUCUUUCUUUUUGUUUAAUAACAUUGGUCAGAGGCUGCUUACCUGAUUCAUUCCUGUUGAUUCCUGCCUCUCAAGCCAAGGCUUCAGCUUAAGUAAUGCCUAGCAUUUGAUAAACACCAGGAGCAAAGGACUCAUGCUUUCUAGAAUGCCAAACUUAUCACUAAAUAAAUGUAUAAUGAAGAGAUGCCUGUCUGGCUUGUCAUAGUUGUGGCAUAAUCUUUGUUAGGUUCCAUGAGUAGAAACAAGAAACUCUAGCAGAAAUGCCAGGCCUUCAUCUAUCACUUCCUCUGCAACCAUACCCACCUCCGAGAGAACCUCUUCCUUAAGACUCAGUCCUAGUACCAGGGGCUCCAAGCCUGACCACAGCUGACUGUACCAAGUCAAGCUGGGAGAAUCCCUGUCGCUCCUCAGAAUUUAAGAAAAGAACUCAUAGAUUAAAUAGUUUAAAUUAAUCAGUGUUCAGUGCUUCAACUAGAAGGCUAUGUAAACUCGGGGUUGUGGCUACUUAGGGGGCUACUCUGGUUUACAUGAUAGAUACAUGAGCAGAAAGGCUCAUCUCUGAUAGAGACAAAUGAAGCAGAGAUGAGAAACUACCUACCUCACAACUCUCUAGGUCCUAUGACACCCCGCUAUGAGGCCGGCCACUGGGUUCUCAGUUAU
ensembl:lncRNA